ensembl:lncRNA
UUGGUUGGCUCAAUCGGUUCUUUUUGAGUUGGACGUGCUACUUUAUCUGUGCGUUCUGCGUCAUCAACCCGGAACUAAAGUUCAAAAGAACCGAACAGCAUGGCGCACGUGAUUAUCACGUCUUUUUAAAGACACGUAUUGAGGGAUUGAGUCCGGUAGAGUUGCUAGAUCUUUAUAAUCACAUUUUUCUGGCAUUCUGGCUUGGGUUUGCGUUCACAUAGAACUCUGGCAAUUUUCAUCGUUUUUCCUGAAUGAAAACCCAGUGUACAUUUAACUAGAAUCUGAGAACUUCCGCAUCGCUAAGAUGCCGCCACGGUUUAACCCGGACACACAGUACACACUGAAAAUAUACGCAAAUGAUACUAGACAAGUGCCUAAAAUACUCGUCAACAAAACCAAUUUACAGCCUGACUGCGGUCCAGAGGGCAUAUCAGGCAGAAAAAAUACAAGCUGUGCUGAUGGUAAACACAUUAACAAGUUCCUGAUCGUGCUGGCAUUUUGCUUUUGGAUCGUCUUCCAGGGACCAAGAUUAUGCCACUUAUAGACACAGUGUCAAAUAAUUGCUGCUCUUUAUACCAUACACAUACAUUCAAAGUAAUGGGACCAUUGUUGUUGAUUUUAUAAUAAAUAUUUAUAUAUUUUAAUGUUGUCUAAACA